AUUGAACGCUGGCGGCAUGCCUUACACAUGCAAGUCGAGCGGCAGCACGGGAGCAAUCCUGGUGGCGAGUGGCGAACGGGUGAGUAAUAUGUCGGAACGUGCCCAGUCGUGGGGGAUAACGCAGCGAAAGCUGUGCUAGUACCGCAUACGAUCUACGGAUGAAAGCGGGGGAUCGCAAGACCUUGCGCGCUUGUAGCGGCCGAUAUCAGAUUAGCUAGUUGGUGGGGUAAAGGCUCACCAAGGCGACGAUCUGUAGCUGGUCUGAGAGGACGACCAGCCACACUGGAACUGAGACACGGUCCAGACUCCUACGGGAGGCAGCAGUGGGGAAUUUUGGACAAUGGGCGCAAGCCUGAUCCAGCAAUGCCGCGUGCAGGAUGAAGGCCUUCGGGUUGUAAACUGCUUUUGUACGGAGCGAAACGGUCUUUCCUAAUACGAGAGGCUAAUGACGGUACCGUAAGAAUAAGCACCGGCUAACUACGUGCCAGCAGCCGCCGUAA
rnacentral:rRNA from 1 species